AGAGUUUGAUCAUGGCUCAGAAUCAACGCUGGCGGCGCGCUUAACACAUGCAAGUCGAACGAGAAAGGGUAGCAAUACCUGAGUAAAGUGGCGUACGGGUGAGUAACACGUGGAUGAUAUGCCUUUUAGUGGGGAAUAACUUUGGGAAACCGAAGCUAAUACCGCAUAAUCCCGAGAGGGGAAAGCAGCAAUGCGCUGAAAGAGUAGUCCGCGGCUGAUUAGCUAGUUGGUGAGGUAAUGGCUCACCAAGGCUUUGAUCGGUAGCCGGCCUGAGAGGGCACACGGCCACACUGGCACUGAAACACGGGCCAGACUCCUACGGGAGGCAGCAGUGGGGAAUCUUGCACAAUGGACGAAAGUCUGAUGCAGCGACGCCGCGUGAGCGAUGAAGCCCUUCGGGGUGUAAAGCUCUUUCGACAGGAACGAUAAUGACGGUACCUGAGAAGAAGC
rnacentral:rRNA from 1 species